rnacentral:rRNA from 1 species
GAUGAACGCUGGCGGCGUGCCUAAUACAUGCAAGUCGAGCGAACAGAUGAGGAGCUUGCUCCUCUGACGUUAGCGGCGGACGGGUGAGUAACACGUGGAUAACCUACCUAUAAGACUGGGAUAACUUCGGGAAACCGGAGCUAAUACCGGAUAAUAUAUUGAACCGCAUGGUUCAAUAGUGAAAGACGGUUUUGCUGUCACUUAUAGAUGGAUCCGCGCCGCAUUAGCUAGUUGGUAAGGUAACGGCUUACCAAGGCAACGAUGCGUAGCCGACCUGAGAGGGUGACGGGCAAAAGAGGAAUGGAAACAGGGCCAGAACCCACUGGGGGGGGCAGAGUGGGGAAUUUUGCGCAGGGGGAAAAAGCCUGAGGGAAAAACGCCGGGGGAGUAAUAGAGUUCUGGGGAUUAAAAACCUUUUUUUUUAGGAAAAAAAAAAUGUGAAAGUAAAGUUCCACUUUUGAAGGGAACCAAAAAGAAAAGCACGGCUAAACAACGG